UGCUAGUGCCUAUUGGCCAGUUUGAUCUUCAAAAUGUAGUAUUUAAAGAGGGAUGAUUUAGAAACUCUGCCUUUCUGCACCUGCCUUCAGCCUGGGGCCAUCCUGCCUCUCCUCAUUUGCAGCUCAUUGACAGCAGCCACGUGUAUGCAGCUCGCAGCCACCAGCUUAGCAGCAUCUCUCUGCCUGGAACAUUGUGUAUGCUACCCUGGCAUCAUUACCACGAGUUUGAAAGCGUCUUUGAUACAGGAGACUUACUCAGGGACCAAAAGCGUUCACAGCUGACUGCUUACCAGAAAGGACAGAACUGUUCUGACAUGGAAUUCCUGCUUCAUUCCUUGGCAGCAAAGAGAAAUCAGCACUUAGAGCUGUGAGAACCUCCAGGUUGUUUUAUCAGGAAGGCAGUUCAAGGAUUGGAGACAAAGAGCACAUAUGACUACUAGACUUAAGAUGCCUACCCCCAGGACCAAGAAUUCCUCAUGGGCAUGAGUACAGCUUCCUCAGCUGGAUCUCCAGACCUUUAGAAGCAGAGGCUCAUGAAUGUAACUGAAGCACUACUAACUGGAUCAGAACGUUUUGAUGUCCUCCAGAGCUGCACACAGGACUGCAGGUGGGGUCUGAGGAGAGCAGAGCCAAGGGGCAGAAUCCCCUCCCUUGCCCUGUGCCCACACUGCUCUUGCUGCAGCCCAGCACAGGGUUGCUGUCUGGGCUGCACUCACACUGCAGGCUCCUGUUGAAUUUUUCAUCACUCCAGACCCUCAGGUCCUUUUCCUCAGGGCUGCUCUCAGCCAUUCCCCACCCAGGCUGGAGCUGUGCUUGGGAUUGUGCCCACCCAAGUGCAGGACCUUACACUUGGCCUUGUUGUAUGUCGUGAGGUUGGCCUGGACACACUUUUGCAGCCUGUCCAGGUCUCUCUGGAUGGAUCCCUGCCCUUCUGUGGUAGAACUUGAUUCACAUCAAAUAAAAAAAAAA